ensembl:lncRNA
UCUAUAUCCUUACUGGCUCUUGGGUCUGAUUUCCGCACGUCAAGAGCUGCUUGUGUCCUGGGAGGAGAGCGAGCCGUUCCCUGUGUCUGUCAGAGGAGUGAAGGUGCCAAAAUGCCGGCCCAUCUGGGCAGGUGGGUGCAGCAGGGCCCAGAACGCAGGGAGGGGAAGCCAGAAGCACUGCGUGCUGCCGGGCUUCCUCCAGCUGGGUGGCACAACGUCCCCUUCCGUGGGCACAGCCCUGCUCCUGCUCUGGGCAGAGCCAAAUGGGGCUAAAAGGAUCCCAGCAGAGCGUGUCCCAGCGCUGGGCUGUGAUAACCACCAUCUGAUCUCUCCCUUAGGCAACACGCUGCCAAAGAGAGGGGAAGGAGAACUCCCGUCCUGCUUCUAGUAGUCCUUUCUGGUGAGUGUUCCCCACCCAGGGCCGUCCCAGCAGAGCCGGGGAGCAGGACUGUCCCACACAGCGUGUCCCUGCUGGGUCUGGAGGAGGAAAACGGGGCUGCAGGGCUCAGAGCAGUCUGAGCAAACUAACUGUCUCUCCCGACUGAUGGCCCCCUACAGCUGGAGCCUUUCUCUGGAUAUUGGCAGCUUGGAAAAAUGACGUCCUGCAGCUGGUGUCAGCAGGACCUGUGCAUGAGCUCCCGUGUCUGGGCUAAGAACACUUCCUUGCCACGCAGAUGGCUCUGUGGUGUGGCCUCAGCCGGCUGUGCGCUCUUUGCACGCCUUUGCCUUGUGCCCAGGGUUCCAGCCUUUC